CAGCACCAGCUCUCUGAUGUUUCUAGCUCCUUAUUGAAAUCACCUUGCAAGGAGUUUUUCCAAACCAGCUGUCUGUGGGAGUAAUCAAGUUCCAACCCCGAUUCUGACUAGGAAGGUUUGGUCGCCCUGAUCACGCCUCCAUGGGAAAAAACGAAACUGACAGAUUAAGGGAGCAAUUCCAAGAAUAAUUUUGGCACUUGAUUUAAGACUGGAAAAUAAUUUUCCCUUCUUGUUUGGGCAAGGAAAAUGUCUCAAGGACAAGAAAAGCCUGCAGGAGAGGCCAGCUGAGAGCCCUUUUUCCUCUUCCCCUCUGCCAGGGCUUAUGUCUGUACAACAACUGAACUAUUUGCCACCUUCCUGAGUUUGUACUCAGUUGUUUAUAGCAGACUGGGAAAUAUGUGCAUUAUUAAAAUAAAAAUAUAAGCCAAAUAGCAAGACUUCUGAGUGGGAGAAACAACAGCCUUUAUAAGAAUUUAAAAUUCCAGCCUCAUCAUGAGAUUGCUUAUUAGUUGCAAGAAGCAAAAGAGUAUGCAGUGGAGAAACUGGACUACACCUUGAAUGGAUGAUCGAAAUUAACAUCACCAAUCAGAGGCAGACAGACACCUUGCGAUACCCUGAAAAGGACACAAAUCACAAGAGGAAAUCCAAACUGAAGAGCAUUGUAAAAAUUGACCUGUGUUCUUUUUAAAAUGUCAAUGUUAUGAAAGGCUGACUGUUUCAUAUUAAAAGAGACUAAACAGC